rnacentral:rRNA from 1 species
AGUGAACGCUGGCGGUAGGCCUAACACAUGCAAGUCGAACGGCAGCACAGUAAGAGCUUGCUCUUACGGGUGGCGAGUGGCGGACGGGUGAGGAAUACAUCGGAAUCUACUUUUUCGUGGGGGAUAACGUAGGGAAACUUACGCUAAUACCGCAUACGACCUACGGGUGAAAGCAGGGGAUCUUCGGACCUUGCGCGAUUGAAUGAGCCGAUGUCGGAUUAGCUAGUUGGCGGGGUAAAGGCCCACCAAGGCGACGAUCCGUAGCUGGUCUGAGAGGAUGAUCAGCCACACUGGAACUGAGACGCGGUCCAGACUCCUACGGGAGGCAGCAGUGGGGAAUAUUGGACAAUGGGCGCAAGCCUGAUCCAGCCAUACCGCGUGGGUGAAGAAGGCCUUCGGGUUGUAAAGCCCUUUUGUUGGGAAAGAAAAGCGGCAGGUUAAUACCCCGCUGUUCUGACGGUACCCAAAGAAUAAGCACCGGCUAACUUCGUG